rnacentral:rRNA from 1 species
GACUCUCGGCAACGGAUAUCUCGGCUCUCGCAUCGAUGAAGAACGUAGCGAAAUGCGAUACUUGGAGUGCAUUGCAGAAUCCCGUGAACCAUCGAGUCUUUGAAUGCAAGUUGCGCCCCAAGCCUUCUGGCCGAGGGCACGUCUGCCUGGGUGUCA